CUUGGUCAUUUAGAGGAAGUAAAAGUCGUAACAAGGUUUCCGUAGGUGAACCUGCGGAAGGAUCAUUACAGAGUUCAUGCCCGAAAGGGUAGACCUCCCACCCUCGUGUAUUAUUACUUUGUUGCUUUGGCGAGCUGCCUUCGGGCCUUGUAUGCUCGCCAGAGAAUACCAAAACUCUUUUUAUUAAUGUCGUCUGAGUACUAUAUAAUAGUUAAAACUUUCAACAACGGAUCUCUUGGUUCUGGCAUCGAUGAAGAACGCAGCGAAAUGCGAUAAGUAAUGUGAAUUGCAGAAUUCAGUGAAUCAUCGAAUCUUUGAACGCACAUUGCGCCCCUUGGUAUUCCGGGGGGCAUGCCUGUUCGAGCGUCAUUAUCACCCCUCAAGCUUCGGCUUGGUGUUGAGGCCUGCUGUAAAGGCACCCUCUAAAAUCAGUGGCAGUGCUGUCAGGCUCUAAGCGUAGUAAAUCUAAUCGCUAUAGACACCUGGUGGACACUCGCCAGAACCCCCCCAUUUUUUAAUGAUUGACCUCGGAUUAGGUAGGGAUACCCGCUGAACUUAAGCAUAUCAAUAAGCGGAGGA
rnacentral:rRNA from 1 species